UCUGUGCAUGUGUAUGCAGAGGUGUUCCGUUAUAGUUGUUGCACUAACGAACUGUAGAAAUGUGGGCAAAAAACGCUCGGGAGGGUGGCGCAAGAUACAGCUCAUAGCGUCCAUACGAACACGCGUUCACUGCAGUAUUCGGCGGAGCAAAACGUCGACAAUAAACAACCUUCUGGACGAGUGGUGGGGGUAGACUGGCUUAGCUGGGAGCAUCGCUGUGACACAAGGCGAAAAGACAGUUAACAAUAACAUUACGUUGUACGAGGCAUAUUCUUCUAGGCAGAAUUCUGAUGAUGACCGCAAUUUCGUUGGUUAGCUAUCAAGUGUGCUUAUGAAAACACUGCAACGUUGGAUUUCAUGCGGAGAAACGUGGAAAUGAGUAAUAAAAAAAGCACAUAGGAUGCCAAGACAAGAUGGACGCGUGUGCGGUGCGGAAGUACAUCAGGACAGACAACGAACCGGAUAUAUAUAAUCGAUUGAAUGUAAAACAUCGAUUCAAAAUGGCGGUAAAAUCCAAGGUCCUGUAUAAAUCUGGCGGAUGUCGUUCCCAAUGAUCAGGAAAACUAUUAAACUCAACUUUCAUUACGGAACUGUUUCGAGGCCACAACAUCGACCAUUAGCCGAGUAGAGAAAAAUAGAAAAAGGCCUAUCAACCUUUAGCUGCUUGGUGCAGGAAGGCAGAGAAAAACGAUUCACUUUCGUAUCAAGUUUGAAAAUGCGGGUUUUCUCUUUGCUCUACAAAACACGUGAAACACUACAGUAGUUUGCAACUGUCCGCCAUUUCGCAUUCAUAUAUGUGUAUAUAUAUAUAUAAGCCCGAGCAGACAUCA